rnacentral:rRNA from 1 species
UACGGAGGGGGCGAGCGUUAUUCGGAAUUAUUGGGCGUAAAGGGCGCGUAGGCGGCUUGACAAGUCAAAGGUGAAAUCCCUCGGCUCAACUGAGGAACUGCCUUUGAAACUGUCUGGCUUGAGGCCGGGAGGGGGUAGCGGAAUUCCCAGUGUAGCGGUGAAAUGCGUAGAUAUUGGGAGGAACACCAGUGGCGAAGGCGGCUACCUGGACCGGUACUGACGCUGAGACGCGAAAGCGUGGGGAGCAAACAGG